GUGGGGAAUCUUGCGCAAUGGGCGAAAGCCUGACGCAGCCAUGCCGCGUGAAUGAUGAAGGUCUUAGGAUUGUAAAAUUCUUUCACCGGGGACGAUAAUGACGGUACCCGGAGAAGAAGCUCCGGCUAACUUCGUGCCAGCAGCCGCGGUAAUACGAAGGGGGCUAGCGUUGCUCGGAAUUACUGGGCGUAAAGGGCGCGUAGGCGGACAGUUUAGUCAGAGGUGAAAGCCCAGGGCUCAACCUUGGAAUUGCCUUUGAUACUGGCUGUCUUGAGUUUGGGAGAGAUGAGUGGAACUCCGAGUGUAGAGGUGAAAUUCGUAGAUAUUCGGAAGAACACCAGUGGCGAAGGCGACAUACUGGUCCAUUACUGACGCUGAGGCUCGAAAGCGUGGGGAGCAAACAGGAUUAGAAACCCGAGUAGUCC
rnacentral:rRNA from 1 species